GUCUAGGAUGUUUUCUUCAUUCUUAGCAAAACCACUCCCCAACCUAGAGACAAUUUAUUCCAACCACAAAAUCAGAAGAAGAAAAAAAAUAACAUGGAGGAAAAGACACAGACAGGAGCCAGAUGCUGCCACACCACACAGGUGCACAUGUGCACGCCAAAGGCAGAUUCCCUCCCCCUGCCCCGCCCCUCUGGAACUUGCCUUCCUUCCUGUGACAAAUUUAGGAGGAGUAUUUUGGCAGAGUGGUUCAUAGUAUCUCCCUUCAUAAAAGAUUGUUCCCGACCAAGUCUUAGCUUGAAAGUGCAUCAGGGAGGAGGGCCUCACAAAAGCUGCUAGACACGUUAAUGCUCUCUAUGUUGGAUGCAUCUCUACCUCAUGUUAAAAGACACCGUGCCCUCAGCACGCCAGUUUAGCCAGAAGAGCAUCAAUGAAGGGGGAAUGUUGGAUGAAAUAAAUUGCACAGCAUUUCAGACCCAUCCAAUCUCAUGAACUCAUGAUUUCAUCAUCCAAUGCUGGAGCUAUGAUAAUAAUAUCACCACUAACAAGUUAAAAUGAGACAAAUGAGCUGGACUCCGAGGUGGCUCAUCUCGCUUCCUUCUCCUACUGAACCCACAUACAAUGCCUACUACAUGCUGACACGAAUACUCACAACAACAAAGGGGUAAGGGUCAUGCCCUCUUCUCUUUUAAGUAAACAGAGUUCUGCUUAUAAAAGAUUGGCACAGCAGAGACCUCAGUGCCCUCAAAGAAAAAUUUGAAUAACUGCACAGAAUAUUUGUCUUCAGUUGCCAUAGGCUUGGAAUAGACAGAGUGAAUCCCAAAGUGACCAGGACAGCCAGUUGUGUGGUGCAUGCCUGUAACCCCAGCACAUGGAGGCUGAGGCAGAAAGAUCUAAGCCCAAGCUACAGAGUAAGUUCCAGACUAGCCUGAGCUGAAUAGUGGGAUCCUGUCUCAAAAACCAAGUGGUCAAAACAAAAUACUUUGAGGCCCUCUUGUGGGUGUCAGGAUAAACGUCAUUAUAGCCCUGUUGGGGUCCAUGCAAGUAAGUACUUGACUGUGCUAUCCAAAGAGGAUAGCAUUAAUAAAAAUGAAGUGACUCUUCAAACAAGACAUGGGGCUUCCAAACCAGAUCAGACUGGCUUUCAAUAUGCCCGGGUGGUCAAGAGCAAUGCUGGGUUUACCUUGUUCAUCUCAGACUUGGUCAGUUCCCGCUCCUCAUCUGGACUACAGCUGCAUUCACUAGCUUGAGAUAGGCUAGUGUGGACCUGGGAGUCACCUCCAAAGGGCAUAUGCCCUUUGUUGUCUGUCACUAGUUCAUCCAGCUAGGUAUUUGCACAGAGCUAACCUGUCUUAAAAGUUCUCUGGCUUGGGAUUUUAGACAGAAUAAACUCCAGAUGAAUCUUUGGGUAACUUUACAUUUCCUUUUUCCCUCCCCCAAAAAGCUAGGUUCCAACUGAAAUGUGUCACAAUACUCAAGGAAGAAAGGUCAGCCCCUUACAAGAGUCAGCGCUGACUCACCAGACAUUGGAACCCUAGAACAGAAAGGCGUCAUGCCAUCCUUCUGAUCACAGUGCCAGUGUGGGUGUGGGGUCCAUUCGAGGUAAAAUGCCUACCUUCACUGUCUAAGUCCAAAGCAUACAAGAGCUGUGCUAGGCUAGGCACUGCAGGCUGAGCUGCAAAGGGCAUGAUCACCCAUGAUGGGAGAGGUUUCCACAAGCCACAUAGACAAAGCAGAUUGAAGAGUAGCGAGGGGGCAGGGGAGCAGCUCCAAUUGACCUGGAAAUUUGGGUCCAACUAACUCUCACGAAGUUCCUCAUCCUUUCCCAGAAGAGAAUGUGAGCGUGUGUUUUCUAUGGAAACUUCUUUGUAUAUAUGUAUAAACUAGGUAUGGCCUUAAAGCUGCAGUUAAGGAUCUGUCUGGCUCCCACCUUAAGCAGCGUGCUAAGCAACCGCUUCCUUAAAGUAAUAUUUUUACCUCUCAUUGGACAUUCAACCUUGAAGAAGCAAUUCCCUCUGGCCCCUUCUUCUUUUUUUGCAUGAAGUCAUUAAAGUUAUGACAGGGUUUGUUUUGUUAUUUUUGCUUUGUUUUGGUUUGGGCUUGUAAAAAAAAUCUAUUUCUGCAGUUUGAAGAUGGAAUGUAAAAUUUCUGUGCUGUAUAUAGAAAUAUAUUUAUUGAGCCAUCCAUAGACAUAUAUCCAUGCCAAUUCUAAUGGAAAAAAAUUAAAGUUUUUCUG
rnacentral:lncRNA from 1 species